rnacentral:misc_RNA from 1 species
AGGGAGUUCUUUGCAGAAGAUGUAGUUUCUGAGUCUAGCAAAUAAGUCUAACAUAAAAUGGCCUCCACUAAUGUGGCAAUGGACAUGAAGUGACAUCUUCCCUUUUACUUUCUUCCACUCUGCAACAACUUCAUCUCUUUGAAGUCUGUUAUACCAACCUUGCAACUGAGAAUUAUUGAUGGUUUGGGAGAUAGCCAAAGUAAGUUUAGAAGUAAUAUCACUAUGAGUCAGUGUAUAUGUUCUUGGCAACUUUCCUGGAUGCUUUUCUUCAUCAACUCCCAAAAAAAGUACCUUCAAUUUUGAAGCUUCAAAUAUAGCUGGUCCAAAUAACCUUGCCACAGGUACUAUGGAUUGAUUCUUCUUGCAUUUCCUUCUAGUUUUGUGUAUAAAAAUAGAGCUCUGUUGUUCAUUGUUGAGCUUAGAUGGAACCACUAGAGAAGUAGUCAAAGUUCCCAUUUUUUCUACAAGAAAUUGGGUACCCAAAACUCCUUGAAUCUUGGAGUUCCAAUAUUACUGGAAAUUUCCAGUAAUAAAACAAUCUUGUUGAAUGUUAAAAGUAUAUAAA